UACGUAGGGGGCUAGCGUUGUCCGGAAUCAUUGGGCGUAAAGCGUGCGCAGGCGGUUCGCUAAGACCGAUGUGAAAUCCCCGGGCUUAACCUGGGAACUGCAUUGGUGACUGGCGGGCUAGAGUAUGGCAGAGGGGGGUAGAAUUCCACGUGUAGCAGUGAAAUGCGUAGAGAUGUGGAGGAAUACCGAUGGCGAAGGCAGCCCCCUGGGCCAAUACUGACGCUCAUGCACGAAAGCGUGGGGAGCAAACAGG
rnacentral:rRNA from 1 species